CUGCAGCCGCUUUCAGUAAAAGCACUAAUCUCAUUCAUGAGCGCUCAUUCAUGGCCCUUAAAACCUAAGCACAUCCCAAAGGCCCCAUCUCCUAAUAUCAUCAACUUGGGGAUUAGGCUUCACUAUAUGAAUUUCGGGAGGACACAUUCGGUCUAUAUUAACCACGGUGGUAUACUUGGCUCACCAACGGUCAUAUGAUAUCAUCCACACAUAUGUUUUUGUCUUCCAUUCACAUUUUGAUGACUGUCCGAUCUAAUGUGUAAGCAUUGACUCCCCAGAGUUCUAGCUUUGUUGAACGCUUGGAUGUCCUCCAGGGAACCAAAGCUCACCAUAUCUGCACUUUUAAUCUGAACGUGAAUUUUGGUCCUGUUGGAAGAAGUGAAUGGAUCUAUGAGAGACAGGAUAAGGCACGGCAGCGUCUUACCAGACUCAUCAUUACUGUGCUGGGAUCUUUAAACUUUGCUCCAAGGACUAAAUAAAUUUUCUUUACACUGGGAGCAUUUUAUUCCUUCUCAGCUGCAUAGAAGGAAAAAAGAAAAAAGAAAAAUAUUUUGACUUUCUUUUGUCCAUUCCUGAGAACAAACUGCAAAACAGAGACUCGAGUAAUACCUGGAAUCUUGAUGUUCUACUUUUCACCCUUCAUGGUAUUCCUACAGGCCCCCAAUAGCAGGAGCAAAAUAGGCAUGAGGUUUUUAUUUCUUCUGUGCUAACCAUCCACAAAGGAUGGGUAUCUGUGUGUAUCUGUUUAUGGAGAAUCAUCAGUGUUUCUUUUCUUUGUCCAAUGUAAGUAAAAUGGGUGACUAUCAGAAUUGUGGAUGCGUGGUACGACUCAACACUUGUAGCAAGCUUACUGUGUAAAUGUCUACAAACUUUUGGACUAUUAGUUUUCUAGUUAUGGGAGCCCAUGGCUUGAUUUUAUCAUGUAAACAAGUUUGUUGGGGUUGUCUUUAAUUGGUUUAUGUAAAUGGUGCUUUGGAAUAUUCCCUUAAAACAAUUGAUACACUACAAAUUGUGACUCCUUUACAUUC